CCGGCGACCGGCGCACGGUGAGUAACACGUAUGCAACCUGCCCUCUUCAGGGGGACAACCUUCCGAAAGGGAGGCUAAUCCCGCGUAUAUCGGUUUCGGGCAUCCGAGAUCGAGGAAAGAUUCAUCGGAAGAGGAUGGGCAUGCGGCGCAUUAGCUAGACGGCGGGGUAACGGCUCACCGUGGCGACGAUGCGUAGGGGUUCUGAGAGGAAGGUCCCCCACACUGGUACUGAGACACGGACCAGACUCCUACGGAAGGCAGCAG
rnacentral:rRNA from 1 species